rnacentral:lncRNA from 1 species
UAACAUUCAAAGAACACCCUUCUCUCAGACUCAGGGCAGGAGACAGACAUCCCAGAGCCUGUAUUCAAAAAGUCUGGGAAUAGCAGCACUAUUCCCACUCUCAGACUGGACCCCCAAACUGGACCAUGCUUUUUAGUCUUGAAACCAUUAUCAAGGGAGUUCAUCCUUCCCACUACUAUCACCAACUGCUGCCCAACUGUCAUUAACAGGCAGAAGCCACAGCUACUGAAAUCCCAGAAGUUCUACAACACCAAAGUCCUUGAUUUGGUGUCAAAUAGCACAGUAUCAGAAACAUGUGCUUGGGGCAGCAAAGUCAUUAGUUCUGCACAUGGAAUCCAAACACAUUCUUGA